rnacentral:rRNA from 1 species
CCUACGGGGGGCUGCAGUGGGGAAUAUUGGACAAUGGGGGCAACCCUGAUCCAGCCAUGCCGCGUGUGUGAAGAAGGCCCUCGGGUUGUAAAGCACUUUCAGUGAGGAAGAACGCCUGGUGGUUAAUACCCAUCAGGAAAGACAUCACUCACAGAAGAAGCACCGGCUAACUCCGUGCCAGCAGCCGCGGUAAUACGGAGGGUGCGAGCGUUAAUCGGAAUUACUGGGCGUAAAGCGCGCGUAGGUGGCUUGAUAAGCCGGUUGUGAAAGCCCCGGGCUCAACCUGGGAACGGCAUCCGGAACUGUCAAGCUAGAGUGCAGGAGAGGAAGGUAGAAUUCCCGGUGUAGCGGUGAAAUGCGUAGAGAUCGGGAGGAAUACCAGUGGCGAAGGCGGCCUUCUGGACUGACACUGACACUGAGGUGCGAAAGUGUGGGUAGCAAACAGGAUUAGAUACCCUAGUAGUC